rnacentral:misc_RNA from 1 species
UUCAUUUGAAUAUGAUUUCUCAAAGUUAAACAAUUCUCUUUGAUCCAAUAAGAUGACUCAUAUAUGUUUUGUAUUUAAACGAAGUCAUGAACGAACAAGAGAAAAUAGCAUGGUGUCUCAGUUUCCAACUAGAGCAAAGUAGUAAAUAGCAAAUGUAAGUGUGGCAUUACAGAGAGAUUUCAAGGCUGUUGUUGAGCAUCCAUGUAACCAGCAUCAACAAGAACCUUCUCCCUUUUAGCCAAUUCGACAUCCUCGUCUACCAUCAUCUUCACCAGUUGUUUGAAUCCAACUUUGGGCUUCCAUCCCAAAACUUUCCUCGCCUUGCUCGAAUCACCCUUGAGAUUAUCAACUUCUGUAGGCCUGAAGUACCUCUUAUCGAUCACCACAUGAUCCGACCAUUUCAACCCUACAGAACCAAAUGCCUCUUCCAAGAACUCCUCUACCGUGUGGGACUCCUCCGUUGCUACCACAUAAUCAUCCGGCUUCUCUUGCUGCAGCAUCAUCCACAUUGCUUCUACAUAGUCCCCAGCAAAACCCCAAUCCCUGGAUGCCUGCAGAUUCCCCAAAAACAGCUUGCUCUGUAGCCCGAUCUUGAUCCGACCCACAGCACGAGUGAUCUUCCUAGUGACAAAGUUCUCACCCCGCCUGGGAGAUUCAUGAUUGAACAGGAUCCCGUUACAGGCGAAGAUCCCGUAUGCUUCUCGGUAAUUAACAGUGUACCAAUGCGCGGCACACUUGGAUACAGCGUAAGGGGAUCUAGGGUGGAAGGGUGUAGAUUCAGAUUGCGGCGGUGGGGUGGAUCCGAACAUCUCAGAUGAACCAGCUUGGUAGUAACGGAUGUUUGAUCUUCCAGUAGCAGAAAUGUGAGAACGGACAGCCUCCAGAAGACGGAGAGCACCGGUGGCGACAACGUCGGCGGUGUAAUCGGGGAUCUCAAAGGAGACGGCAACAUGAGACUGUGCGGCGAGGUUGUAAACCUCAUCAGGCUGAAUUGUAUCAAUCCAACGGCGGAGAGAAGAGGCAUCGGUAAGAUCGGCAUAGUGAAGCUUCAUGCGUGCCUUAUGGACAUUGUGAGGAUCGAUAUAGAUGUGAUUAACUCGCUGGGUGUUGAAAUUGGAGGAUCUACGAAUCAGUCCAUGAACUUCAUAGCCCUUGUCGAGAAGGAAUUCAGUAAGAUACGACCCAUCUUGCCCAGUAAUGCCGGUGAUCAGAGCUACUUUCCGGCGAUCGCCAUUGGAAUCUCCGGUCGAUUCAGAUCUAUCGGAUGCCAUUUUUCGGUGACACAGAGUUAAUUUUUUCUUGAAUUUGUACGUUGGAGUUUU